rnacentral:rRNA from 1 species
CAUCUCCUCAAUUGUGAUAGGCAGUGCGCGCCUCUGUCUUGCUUUGGUAUGUGCGUUCUCCGGACACUAGCCUGUGGGCUCCCCAUUAGAGCCUUCUUGAAACACGGACCAAGGAGUCUGACAUGUGUGCGAGUAAACAGGCGAGUAAACCUGUAAAGAAGCUAAUUAGUGGGAUCCCCCUGAGGCAUGCUCCGCCGACCAACCUUGAUCUUCUAAGAAGGGUUUGAGUGUGAGCAUACCUUUCUGGACCCAAAUGAUAGUGAACUAUGCCUGACCAGGGCGAAGCCAGAGGAAACUCUGAUGGAGGCCCGCAAUGAUACUGAUGUGCAAAUCGUUCGUUUGACUUGGAUAUAAGGGCAAAAUCCUAAUUGAACCGUCUAGUAAUUGGUUCCGUCCAAAGUUUCCCUCAGGAUAGCUGAAGCUCACGUGCGAGUUCUAUUGGGUAAAGCCAAUGAUUAGAAGCCUAGGGGGCACAACACCAUCGACCUAUUCUCAAACCUUAAAUAGGUAGGACGGCGCGGAUGCUUUAUCAAGCCGCGCCAUAAAACCAAGAGCACCAAGUGGGCCAUUUUUGGUAAGCAGAACUGGCGAUGCGGGAUUAACCAAAAACAGGGUUAUGGUGCCAAAUUGCAUGCUAACCUAGAUCCCAUAAAGGGUGUUGGUCGAUUAAGAUAGAAAGACGAUGUUCAUGGAAGUUGAAAUCCACUAAGGAGUGUGUAAUAACUCAUCUGACGAAUCAACUAGCCCCAAAAAUAGAUUUCACUUAAGUGCGCGACCUACACCCAGCCGUCGGGGCAAGUGCCAGGCCCAAAUGAGUAGGAGGGCACGGCGGUCGCUGGAAAAACCUUAGGCAUGAGCACAGGAUGAGAAGCCGUUGGUGCAGAUCUUAGUGGUAGUAACAAAUAUUCAAAUAAGAAUUUAAAGACCGAAGAGGGGAAAGGUUCCAUGUGAACGGUACUUGCACAUGGGUUAGUCGAUCCUAAGGGUCAGGGGAACCCCGACAAAUAGCGGGUUUCGCGUGUACUGUAAAAGAGAAUCGGGUUAAAAUUCCUGAACCAGGACGUUGAGAUUGACGACAAUGUUAGGAAGUCCAAAGACGUCGGUGAAAGCCUCGGGAAGAGUUAUCUUUUCUAUUUAACAGCCUUCCCACCCUGGAAUUGGCUCAGCCGAAAGUAGGGUCCAGCGGUUGGAUAAGCACAACACUUUGCGUGGUGUCCAGUGUGCCCUCGGCAGCCCUUGAAAAUUCAGAGGACCGAACGUCAUCCACACUUGGUUGUACUCAUAACCGCAUCAGGUCUCCAAGGUGAACAACCUCUGGUUAAUUGAACAAUGUAUGCAAGGGAAGUCGGCAAAAUGGAUCCAUAAUUUUUGGAAAAAGAUAGGCUCUGAGGGCUAGGUACGGGGGUUCCAGUCCUAAACCCGUCGGCUGUCGAUGGAUGCUCAAGCUGCCCCUGCAGUGGAGUGGGUUGCCACAUGCCAGCCGAGUGACGUACUAGGAACGGUUCCUUCGUGGGCCUUCCCCAAGCGUCGAACAUCCAACUCAGAACUGGUAAGAACAGGGGAAAUUUGACUGUUUAAUUAAAACAUAGCAUUGCGAUGAUCCCAACGGAUGUUCACGUAAUGUGAUUUCUUCCCAGUGCCCUGAAUGUCAAAGUGAAGAAAUUCAACCAAGCGCGGGAAAAUGGCAGGAGUAAAUAUGACUCUCUUAAGGUAGCCAAAUGCCUUAUCAUCUAAUUAGUGAUGCGCAUGAAUGGAUUAACGAGAUUCCCACUGUCUCUGUCUACUAUCCAGUAAAACCACAGCCAAGGGAUUCACACAAUUGGUUAUCACGUUUGGUUGAACAACCAUUGGUGAAAAGUUACAAUGUGAUGGAUUAUGAUUGAACGCCUGUAAGUUAGAAUAAGGGCUAGAAGUGAUGCAUGCACCAGCCAUCCACUUGCCGACCCGCAGUUGGGGCCUCAGCCCCCAAGGGCACAUGUUGUUGGCUAAGCCAUCAUGGCGGAAGGGUCAUGUUGGCCUCCUUGAAGUAUAAUAUCCAUCGAGUGGUAGGUAGAAUCCUUUGUAGAUGACUUAUAUACGCGAUGGGGUAUUGUAGGUGGAAAAGUGGCCUUACAGCCACGAUCCACGGAGAUUCAGCCCCUUGUCACUUUAGUUCUUUCUUCCCCCUCCAAUCCAAUCAUUUUUCCAUCCAUCUCCAAAAAAGGUUUGUGCAUCCCUACUUGAAAAAUCCCACUAACUGUUGUGAGUUUACCUCAAUCUCGAGCAUGUCGCGGCAUAGCCUCACCCGAGUUAACCACUUGUUUUUCAAGUGUCGCAUGUGUUUCAUUCUUAACAGUUAAGUAUGAUAUCAGGUAGCCAUUUAUAUAAAACUAUGGUGUCUCAAUUAGAGGUUUUCUAUGUCGUAACGUGUGGCUCGAGAGCCCAGCAAUGCAUCGUGAUUACUACGUCGGUGCGUAGAGGCAUCUCGCAAUUAGAGGUUAAGGUGAUCGUGAAGUGCAAUCCUAGAAACAUGUCUAAUGACCCAGGAUACGACGCCCGGCGAAAUCAAAAGCAUGAAAAAAAGUGUCGUCAAGUGCCAUGAUGAAAAAUGCUGAAGGACCUAUAGUGGCCUACUAUGGUGGUGUCUUUGUCGAGUUGGUUGCACCACGGCACCACAGCACUGUGCACCAUGGCGCCAAGGCACCAAGGCACUACAACACUGCGCACCAUGGCACCGUGCACAUGGCACCAUGGCACCAAGGCACCGCGCACUAUGGAACCAUGGCACCGU